AUAAUGCUGUCAUGUCCUAUUAUACCCUAAACUUUUAUAUACCAUUAAAUCAUGAUAUUUAAUAUGAUUUGAAAUUGUGUGCAGUUUGAUUUAGUUCAAUUCUACAAAAACGUGCAGAUUAUUGUACUUUCAGAACAAACAACUUCCUGUGAAUGUAGCAGUCCAUCAUGUCUGUAUUCCUGGACAUUGUUCAUGUUAUCAGACACUGUGUUUUUCCCCUUCUUAACUUACUCAGUGUUCUUCCUUGGUGGGCCCCUGAGGGUCUCAGGACAGAAAAGGUGGGUGAGCACUCCAGCCGUCUCCAUGAUGCUCUGCCUGAGAGACGCCCACUGGAGCUGAGAAAGAUGGAGUGGGUGGACGAGCACUCCAGCUGUCGCUAUGGUCUACCUGAGAGAUGCCCA